UGAAUCAGGAAGAGGAAUAGAGACUAGGAGAAGUAUGAAUGAGAACAUGAAGGAAAACCAAAUAAAGCUCUAAAUUCUGGAGUUGGAGUCUGGCCUGAUGAUUUUCCUAGUGCCUCUCAUUUCUGUAGUUCUUACGUGCUCAUUCCUCUUACUUUUGGCU
rnacentral:pre_miRNA from 1 species